rnacentral:rRNA from 1 species
AGAAUCAACGCUGGCGGCGUGCCUAACACAUGCAAGUCGAACGAGAAAGUGGAGCAAUCCAUGAGUAAAGUGGCGACCGGGUGAGUAACACGUGACUAACCUACCUUCAAGUGGGGGAUAACCUCGGGAAACCGGGCUAAUACCGCAUAACAUCUUUGGAGUGGAAAUUCUGGAGAUCAAAGGAGCAAUUCGCUGGAAGAGGGGGUCGCGGCUGAUUAGCUAGUUGGCGGGGUAAUGGCCCACCAAGGCUUUGAUCGGUAGCCGGCCUGAGAGGGCGCACGGCCACACUGGAACUGAAACACGGUCCAGACUCCUACGGGAGGCAGCAGUGGGGAAUUUUGCGCAAUGGGGGAAACCCUGACGCAGCAACGCCGCGUGGAGGAUGAAGUCCCUUGGGACGUAAACUCCUUUCGACCGGGAAGAUGAUGACGGUACCGGUGGAAGAAGCCCCGGCUAACUUCGUGCCAGCAGCCGC